GACGAACGCUGGCGGCGUGCUUAACACAUGCAAGUCGAACGGUGAAGCGCCUUCCUUUUUGGUGGGUGUGGAUGAGUGGCGAACGGGUGAGUAACACGUGAGUAACCUGCCCCCUUCUUCUGGAUAACCGCAUGAAAGUGUGGCUAAUACGGGAUAUUCUGGGUCUGUCGCAUGAUGGGUCUGGGAAAGAUAUUGUUUCGGUGGGGGAUGGGCUCGCGGCCUAUCAGCUUGUUGGUGGGGUGAUGGCCUACCAAGGCGGUGACGGGUAGCCGGCCUGAGAGGGUGGACGGUCACACUGGGACGGAGACACGGCCCAGACUCCUACGGGAGGCAGCAGUGGGGAAUAUUGCACAAUGGGCGCAAGCCUGAUGCAGCGACGCCGCGUGAGGGAUGGAGGCCUGCGGGUUGUGAACCUCUUUCGCCAGUGAAGCAGGCCUGCCUCGUUUGUGGGUGGGUUGACGGUAGCUGGAUAAGAAGCGCCGGCUAACUACGUG
rnacentral:rRNA from 1 species